rnacentral:ribozyme from 1 species
UUUUUCUUCUUCUUUUAAUUUUUUUGGGCUGUUCUUGAACUCCUUCUUUUUCUUUGUCAAGCAUGGGUGAAGGUCAGAGCGCUAACAAGCACCCAAGCAACAAAAAGGAAAUGAAUGAAUGGGAUUCUUCCUUUUUG